GAUGAACGCUGGCGGCGUGCCUAAUACAUGCAAGUCGAGCGAAUGGAUUAAGAGCUUGCUCUUAUGAAGUUAGCGGCGGACGGGUGAGUAACACGUGGGUAACCUGCCCAUAAGACUAGGAUAACUCCGGGAAACCGGGGCUAAUACCGGAUACCAUUUUGAACCGCACGGUCCGAAAGUGCAAGGCGGCUUCGGCUGUCACUUAUGGAUGGACCCGCGUCGCAUUAGCUAGUUGGUGACGUAACGGCUCACCAAGGCAACGAUGCGUAGCCGACCUGAGAGGGUGAUCAGCCACAAAGGGACUGAGACACGGCCCAGACUCCUACGGGAGGCAGCAGUAGGGAAUCUUCCGCAAUGGACGAAAGUCUGACGGAGCAACGCCGCGUGAGUGAUGAAGGCUUUCGGGUCGUAAAACUCUGUUGUUAGGGAAGAACAAGUGCUAGUUGAAUAAGCUGGCACCUUGACGGUACCUAACCAGAAAGCCACGGCUAACUACGUGCCAGCAGCCGCGGUAA
rnacentral:rRNA from 1 species